AAAAAGCAUGGACCAAAUCUAAUUGGGUUGGUAUUGGGAUAAAUUAGGUCAAGCCAUUGACAUGUCGCUGCGAUGGUAGAUCCACCACUGCAAUUGUACUUUCGCUGCUACAGUGGUAGUCGGGCAAUACCUAAUAUGAGUGUUAGUUGAAACCCUUAUAUCGUUGAUCAUCCUUAUGUUGUCUCCCUCCUCCGAAAACAACCCAAGUGAAUAUUUUUCCUAAUAUAUGAGGAUUUGGAGUUCAGGAUCAAAAGAGGAUGAUUCUGAGGCAUUUUUCAUGGAAUUCCAAUAUUUGAUGAGGCCAAGCACAUUGGGACAAGUCUCCGCUCUUUGUAGCAAUGAAAUUCAUCUAUGAGAUUGUGAUUAUAUAUUAAUACUCGACAAGUUCAGAGAGUGCUUAUGAUGAUAUAUUGAUACAUGCAAGGCCAAGGGAUGAUUAUGAAGAUAUAUUGAUACCCGAUAAAUCCGGAGGAUGAUUUUGAUGACAUAUUCAUACCCGGUACAAUGGAAAGCAAUUACCAACUACCAGAGGUAGAAGUAGAGGCCAAGGGUCCAGGUAAGGGCAUGUACAAGUUGAGGAUGCACCGACACUCAACACCCGACGUAAUUGCUAGGUGAUUUCUUUAUCUUCCCACUCUGAUGAGGAGGGUAAAAGUAGUAGCAACAGCAGCUCAAGUUCAAUUCUGGUUGUGAAAGGAGUUGAAGUACCUAACCUUAUCCAAGAGGGGAGUCCUAAACAAGCGGACCCAAAUUUGGUUCGACAUAAAGAUCCGCAAGUAUGGGAAGCUAUACGGUGGCAGAUUGAGGGCGCCGAGAGCAUUUCUACAAUGGGUUAGCACCAAUAGACAUGGUAACCAUAAAGAGGGCUAUUUUUGAAGAGCAUAAAAUUUUGACCAUGACCUUGCAUGAAUACCAAGAGAUUGAGCGCCGAUUCAACGAGUACGAACUGAUAUGGAUGAGUAGGCCGCUGGGGACCUAUCAACCAAAUUUGGUCCAUGAAUUUUUUUGCCAAUUACUUGGCGUUGCUUGAGAAAAACUGUCCUCCAGAUACAUCAGUGGCUGACAUAAAUAAGUGGGAUGCCGUUUCCUAUUCGUGGAGUUAAUAUAGAUAUUUCAGAGCACACGCUGAAUAGAAUCUUGUUUGGGCCGGAAUAUCAGAUACCUGGGCCAAUUCUAGAAUUAAAGCAUCAAUUGUUUAGACGAACGUAGUAAAAGCCAUGGUUAGGCAAAAUACUGACAGAUGGAGGAGAGCCUACGUGGCUACACAAUCCAGGCAAAAAAAUAUCUAAGUCGUCCCUAAAAUUUAGGGCCAAGUUCUGGUGGGAGAUUGUAAGGCUGAGAUUGAUGCCAACAAGUGAUGAUGACCGCUAGAACUCACUAGAGCCGUGAUUGUAGCUACUUUGAUUGAGGGACUUAUAGUGGAUUUUAGCCACAAUAUUUCUGAUGAAUUGUUCUUUCACGCCCAUAAGACUCAGACUGCACUACCAUUCCCAUACCUUAUCAUAGAAUUGUGCAAGCAAGCAAAGGUACCUUUCAUUAGCAGAGUUGAUAAUGAGAUACAAACGACACAUAAGUAGGAUAUUAAAAAGAUGAGGGAUGACUCAAAGUUUGAUAUGCGAGUCACCAUGCCUUUGGCUCUGCAAACUCGAUCAGCGCCAGUUCCUAAAUCAUCAGAGGGUCCUUCAGGUAUGCCAUUACCACUUACUACGUAUGUACCUUCUGCUACUUUUGCAGGUUCAUCUUCGAUGCCCAUGGGUAGAAAUAUGGAUUUUGCAUUAGUUCCGCCCCAAUACUCAGAAUACAGGCUGAACCAGUAAAAUUUUGCAAAGUAUGUACUAGCGCAAAAAAGGAUUGAAAAGUAAUUGGCUAUAUGGGGGCAUAUUUUAAACUGUUUAUUGAGAGAAUUAUAGAGGAGGAAAACCAACCUUUUAGGAAUAUCUAGCUAUGAAUGGAUAACAUGGAUGAGCAUAUCAACAAGAGGAUGAUGCCCUGUCCAUUUUGGAUUUUAAAAUAUUACUUGAGGAUGUUAGAAAACUCUGGGCUGAUGUGGAUAGGAUACAUCAACAACCACAGCAGCCCACAUUUGAUCCUGUUCAGAUUGCAAGUGAUGAAGAUGAAGGCCUAAUUGAUUUAAUGGGGCGACUAAUUAAAGAUUAGGGGUAAGAAAGUGGCUGAAAAAUAUGAAAAAGAUAAGAGUGCUACAAAAAGAGAAGAGAAGAAAAGAAAACAUUCAACCAUGACACCAGAAGAACUAGAAGAUACUAGAUACAGAAGGAUGGAGCUGCAGGUGUUUCCACAAGCUCUGCCCCAGUCAGGGGGAAAAUUUUAGACAUUGUUAGGCAGGUGAUACCUUUAAUUCUGGAGGGAGAGAUUUUGAGUGCCCCUACAACCAUAGGGGCUAACAUUGCACCCGGUGAGGAUGCUGGAGCCUUACCACACUUCACCGAUGCCUUAGAUGAAUAAGUGGCACUGCAAGUAUUUCCAUUACCUUGUACUUAAAUUGUAUGCAUUAAAGACAAAGCAUUAUUUUCUAUGGGGGUGGGAUGUUCUUGUACCAUGGAGUGUUAUGUUACUGAUAUUCUUUUCCU